rnacentral:rRNA from 1 species
UACGUAGGGUGCGAGCGUUGUCCGGAAUUACUGGGCGUAAAGAGCUCGUAGGUGGUUUGUCGCGUUGUUCGUGAAAACUCACAACUCAAUUGUGGGCGUGCGGGCGAUACGGGCAGACUGGAGUACUGCAGGGGGAGACUGGAAUUCCUGGUGUAGCGGUGGAAUGCGCAGAUAUCAGGAGGAACACCGGUGGCGAAGGCGGGUCUCUGGGCAGUAACUGACGCUGAGGAGCGAAAGCUGGGGGGAGCAAACGGG